CACAGCUUCUCUGGGCACCCUGUGCCAGGGCCUCACCACCCUCACAGGGGAGAACUUCUGCUUAAGAUCCCAUCUCAAUCUCCGCUCUGGCAGGUUAAAGCCCUUCCCCUUUGUCCUAUCCCUACAGGC